UCUUGUGGAAGAGCAAAGAAAGUAGUUUCUUGAGAUGGAAUCUACUCCUGGUGAAGAUGCUGUGAA
rnacentral:pre_miRNA from 3 species